GUCCGACAUAGCAGGAAGCGCUAAUUUCAUCCACGUCAAUUACUUUGAUGAACGCUCAUACUGUUCAGGGUGCGAGAACAAGAUAAAAGAAUUACUGAAAUAAAAAGCAUACACCCGCCUGCAUGGCCCCCUCCCCUCUGGCCCCCACCCCGGAGCCCUGCAGGGCCGUGGGGCUGGGCUGCCCGCACGCAGCCAGCUGGGUGGUGAUGGGGCGGAUGAGACUGCCUUGGGUUCAAAAGGAGGAGAUUUGGGAUGGAGACAUGGCAGGACCACCCCCUGCAAUUGAACGCAGAGCCUCUCAGGGCAGAUGGAAGGAGAACGCCUCCGCUGUGGUCAGUCCCUGAAGACAAAGUGGAUGCUGCUGGCACACUGGAAUGACGGCACGGGUUUGCUGACGGUUUUGCAUGGGAGCAUCGGUUGGGUUUACACCUACAAGUGCUUGGCUAUGGCAGCGGGGCAUCCCAUGGAAAGGCCAAAAAGCAGCAGAGAGAUCCAGGGAAGGAGGAGAUGGCACACGCUGCAAGCCUGUUCUCUGUCAGCGACGCUGCUGGGAGCACGGACACCCAUAGUGGAGCCAGCAGCUGAGGACAGCUCACAGGAGAGGAAAAAAAUGGAGCCAAGGAUGGCACUGUCUCUUUAAAAAUAAAUAAAUAGAUAAAGACUAAAAAAAAAAAAAAGAAAGAAAAAAUGCAAUAAGUAUAUGCAAAUGUGUUGAGCCGAACAUCGCUGUCUGUGAAACAGAUGAGGGAGAAAGUGCUUGAAGCUAGAGAGGAAUGAGGCAGCCAGCGCUGACCCCGGGG
rnacentral:lncRNA from 1 species